UUCACAAUGUAAGUCAUUCUAGCAUUUCCCACAUUCAUAUUGAUGUUAAUGAAUCUAGACAUAUAUAUCUAUCUAGAUUCAUUAACAUCAAUAUGAAUGUGGGAAAUGCUAGAAUGACUUACAUCGUGAA
rnacentral:misc_RNA from 1 species